GGAAAAGAAAAAGUAAAGGACUAAAUUGUAAAGUUUAGUCACAUUUUGUAUCGAGUACUUAUCUAGCCACUCGGGGAUCGAAGGAAACGUCGGAGGCCGAUCACACUAUCAAAGAAAUAACUCGGUAUAAUUAGACGUUUUGUUUUGUGUAUGGCAUGUAUAGAAACUUAGCCACUUUUGGUAUAAUAUGAACAAUGAAUGAUGUGUAAA